rnacentral:rRNA from 1 species
GAUGAACGCUGGCGGCGUGCCUAAUACAUGCAAGUCGAGCGAAGCGGGGACGGGUGAGUAACACGUGGAUAACCUCCUAUAAGACUGGGAUAACUUGGGGAAACUGGGGACAAACGGGAUACUUAUAGAUGGUUCCUCGCGGAAUUAGCUAGUUGGUAGGGUAACGGCUUACCACGGCAACAAUCCAUAGCCGACCUGCGAGGGUGACCGGCCACACUGGAACUGAGACACGGUCCAGACUCCUACGGGAGGCAGCAGUAGGGAAUCUUCCGCAAUGGGCGAAAGCCUGACGGAGCAACGCCGCGUGAGUGAUGAAGGUCUUCGGAUCGUAAAACUCUGUUAUUAGGGAAGCGGUACCUAAUCAGAAAGCCACGGCUAACUACGUGCCAGCAGCCGCGGUAAUUC